AUGUUUAUCCUCGGAAAUGGAGCAAGUGAUGAAUACUAUUACAUUACAGUAUUAGAUGCUACUGUGCUUUAUUUUCUAUAUAGGUAUCAUGACAUGCCAGAUGUCAUUGAUUUCCUUGUGUUACAUCAGUUUUAUAAUGAAGCCAAAGAAAGAAACUGGCAGAUUGGUGAUAGAUUCCGCAGUAUAAUAGAUGAUGCCUGGUGGUUUGGAACUGUGGAAAGUCAGCAGCCUUUUCAGCCAGAAUAUCCUGAUAGCUCUUUCCAGUGUUACAGUGUUCAGUAAGUAUAGCUCAUUCGUGACUCUGAUAAAUACUGUCUCUUUAUAUCAACUUUUUUCACAUAAACAUUGUUUUCUAAAUAGAUCAUUGUAUUCU
rnacentral:lncRNA from 1 species